rnacentral:tRNA from 1 species
AGUUUAUGAACUUGUAAAGUAUAUAUUUUGAAAAUAUAAAAAAGGGUUAAAAUUCCCUAUAGACUU